rnacentral:rRNA from 1 species
GAUGAACGCUAGCGGGAGGCUUAAUACAUGCUAAGUCGAGCGGCAAGUUUUGAUAGCAAUAUUGGAACCUAGAGCGGCGCACGGGUGAGUAACGCGUACAUGACCUGCCCUAUACUGGGGGAUAGUCUUGGGAAACUGAGAAUAAUCCUGCAUGUGAUUAGAAUGCUGCAUGGCAAAUUAAUUAAAGCUGAGGCGGUAUAGGAUGGGUGUGCGUCUGAUUAGCUAGUUGGUAGUGUAACGGACUACCAAGGCGAUGAUCAGUAGGGGGGCUGAGAGCGUGGUCCCCCACACGGGUACUGAGACACGGACCCGACUCCUACGGGAGGCAGCAAUAAGGAAUAUUGGUCAAUGGAGGGAACUCUGAACCAGCCAUGCCGCGUGAAGGAUGACGGCCCUCUGGGUUGUAAACUUCUUUUGGAUGGGGCGAAAAAACGGGAUUUAUCCUGGACUGACGGUACCAGAAGAAUAAGCACCGGCUAACUCCG